rnacentral:rRNA from 1 species
UAGGGAAUCUUCCGCAAUGGGCGAAAGCCUGACGGAGCAACGCCGCGUGAGUGAUGAAGGUCUUCGGAUCGUAAAACUCUGUUAUUAGGGAAGAACAAAUGUGUAAGUAACUAUGCACGUCUUGAUGGUACCUAAUCAGAAAGCCACGGCUAACUACGUGCCAGCAGCCGCGGUAAUACGUAGGUGGCAAGCGUUAUCCGGCAUUAUUGGGCGUAAAGCGCGCGUAGGCGGAUUUUUAAGUCUGAUGUGAAAGCCCACGGCUCAACCGUGGAGGGUCAUUGGAAACUGGAAAACUUGAGUGCAGAAGAAGAAAGUGGAAUUCCAUGUGUAGCGGUGAAAUGCGCAGAGAUAUGGAGGAACACCAGUGGCGAAGGCGACUUUCUAGUCUGUAAAUGACGCUGAUGUGCGAAAGCGUGGGGAUCAAACAGG